rnacentral:rRNA from 1 species
AGAGUUUGAUUAUGGCUCAGAACGAACGCUGGCGGCGUGCUUAACACAUGCAAGUCGCGUGCGCAGUUUCCGUAGCAAUACGGGGAUGGGCGCACGGCGCACGGGUGCGUAACACGUGGGCAAUCUGCCCUCCGAUGGGGAAUACCCCCGCGAAAGCGGGACUAAUUCCGCAUAACAUUCCUUGGAUUAACUUUCGAGGAUUCAAAGCAGCAAUGCGUCGGAGGAGGAGCCCGCGCCCGAUUAGCUAGUUGGUGAGGUAACGGCUCACCAAGGCAAUGAUCGGUAGCUGGUCUGAGAGGAUGGCCAGCCACACUGGAACUGAGACACGGUCCAGACUCCUACGGGAGGCAGCAGUGGGGAAUCUUGCACAAUGGGCGAAAGCCUGAUGCAGCGACGCCGCGUGGGGGAUGAAGCUUUUCGGAGUGUAAACCCCUUUCGACUGGGACGAAUGCCUCGCAAGAGGAGUGACGGUACCAGUAUAAGAAGCCCCGGCUAACUACGUGCCAGCAGCCGCGGUAAGACGUAGGGGGCCAGCGUUGUUCGGAAUUACUGGGUGUAAAGGGUUCGUAGGCGGUGUGGCAAGUCGGGAGUGAAAUCUCUGGGCUCAACCCAGAGACUGCUUCCGAAACUGCUGUGCUUGAGUGUGAGAGAGGCUCGUGGAAUUGCAGGUGUAGCGGUGAAAUGCGUAGAUAUCUGCAGGAACACCCGUGGCGAAAGCGGCGAGCUGGAUCACUACUGACGCUGNNNAACGAAAGCUAGGGGAGCAAACAGGAUUAGAU